AAGUACACUUCAACUGUGAGAGACAGAAUCUAAAACAAACAUCCACAUGGUUAAGACCAAACCAGACAUUGUCAAAUCUUAGUGGAAGACUGGACACUCCAAUUUACAGUCCUGUACACAGGAAUGGUUAUCAACGCCACUGCCCUUGGACUAAAACAAAGCAACAACAUACUGCCUCCAUGUUGGAUUGAAGUUCACAGGGAGGUCUGAAGGUGAUAUGGACAGAUGUGUUCCAGAUGCUCAUCAGGUGUUAAUUUCGGACCCUGCUUCCAUACCUGUUGAUGGAUAUUCUGGCUGCUUAUCCCGGAAUUCCUGGGAUGUUUGCAGGGUUGGGUUAUGACCAGUGCCUUUGGAAAGGGUUUCUAAACCAUUGCUUUCUACUUCAAUGAUUGGGUUCCAUCUCUACAUUACAUGCCAAAGUUUGUGACUUCCAGUCUAGCCCGAAGGUUGUAGCCAGACACCUCCUGCUCAUCUGUGCCAUCCUCUGGAUUGUCACCCUCUUCCUCAUGCUGAGGAUGGUCCUCCACCUCCAAGAUGUCAUCCUUAGAGAGACAAAGGUUGUGGAGAAUGUAGCAAGCCGCCACCACCUUGGGCACAUACCAAGGACACACUUCCAGAGCCCUCAGUAAGAUGGAUCUCCAGUGGGUUUUCAGCAUGCCAAACGUGUGCUCGAUUACGCACCUUGCCUUGGUGUGGUGGCCGUUGAACUGGGCCUCAUGGUGUAGAAAUCAUAUACAGUUACAUUAUUUGGUAGUGUUAUUUAAGACCACUACCAAGAUCUGUUUUCAUCAUAUAUAAGUCUGUCUUUAUUCAGUGUUGAAAACAAAGAGUACUUGGUAGUGAACUCAGACUUCUGGAGCCCACUGUGUGUUUGUGUGUGUUGGCAACCUUGGAUUUCAGUCCAGUAAAUAUCCGAACCAGCUACAGGGUGUUGAAACGGGGUGAUGACAGCCACAGGAUGCUGCAGGCAUGGAUAUCCACCAACUUCAGAAAAUAAUUCUGUUUGAUUUUGUUCAAUAAAGUGUUUUAGACCAUUAUUCCACAUGGUGUUGUUUAUAAAUGUUCAUAACUGAAUUGUAAACACCAUAACUCGUUGUGAAGUGGUUGAUUGCCAUUGCUAUACUGUGUAAUUUGUGGUCCAAGAUGAUUUCGACCUUUUAAAACUGUUUUGAUUCAGCCUAUGGAAUUGGAAACAAGCAGUUGCCAAUAGGAAACUCCAUUAAACCAUACUUCAGAUGGUUGGGCUUUCCAUUAAAGUUUUCAACUUAAGUAAAAUGGUUUGGUUACUGUUCCAUCACAUUGAGAAAGACUAGUGCCAACAUGAUGUAGCCUUGCCAUCCUCUGUCUCAUUCUGGCCCUCUGGAUCGGGUGCCUUUGCUCAGCGUCCUCCUAUAUAUAUAUACAUAUAUCUCUAACGGUUGUCUUGACAAUCUUUUACCAGCUGCUUUUUAACGCUGGUAGCUCGUUAGUGUGCUUGUGAAAUUCACGAGGUACCAGCGGGAAAAGGCUGAGGUAAAAUAUAGGCUAAAUAGGGAUUAGGUAGACAAAUAUAUCUAUAUAUAGAGGUACAGACACAGGAGCAUCAUAACACUUUUUACGUUAAAUAGCAUUUUAGUUAGGGUGACCACAUUUUCAAACUCCCAAACCGGGACCCUAGUGUAACCGCACGUUAACGCGCACAUGUAUGCGCUUACGCACGCAUGGUCAUCAUGCGUGAUUUUGGUUGGUGGAGCAGGGGACGCUUUGAUGAGAAUUGUUGCAUUGCUACGCAGUACUACCCAGUUGUUUGCUUGGCUUCGACUCCUAUGUGGAAACAUUACAAAAUUGUGGGGAACUUAUUGUGGUAGUGAAUAUUGGAAACCGGGGCAUUUUAGUGUUUUACAGAUAUUUGUCAUGAACAGGUGUUACGAAGAAUUCAGUGACCGUGCGAAUUCUGUGUGCCUGUCGAAAGUGCGCAUAUCGAAUAUUUAUUUCUGUCAGGGGGAGCGUGUGAUAUCUCGUGCACUUGUUGCUCCUCCUCGCACCCUACAUUGUCUUCCUUCUAAAAGGCGUCUGUUAACCUAAGCUUGUUUGCGCUGCAAUAUUAACCUUGUGAUCUUUGCGAUUCUGCAUCCAUAGAUACGUUUUUUUUAAAACAGCAGCAGAAAGCAAGUAUAUUGUGUUGUUUAACAUAUGGGUGUAGUACUGUAUUGUUGCAAUGACAAAUGCCAUGUUUGCGUUAGCUAGCACAGCCAGUCAAAGUAACUGUGAUAUAGUUUGCCAAUUCAAUGUGUUGGACUUCUCUCAAUAUUAACAAGCUACCCAUACGGAAAAUGUAUGUAUUUAAAAUAUAUUAUUUUUAUACAUUUAAUAAAUGUAUGUCAAGGUGUUCCAAUUGGAUUCCUUAAAUAUAUUUAGAAAACAUUUAUUACUAUACGAACCCGCAAAUUACCGCUAUCCUGUCGGGCGCCCUAAAUACUGCUCCAAACAAGUUAGUAGUGGUUUUACCAAGGUCGCUGCAGUACAUAAGAAUAUCUUGCUGACUGUAAGAUGAAACGCAUUUUGUAAAUGAAUUGCUAAGAUGUAUUUAAACAGCUAAAAGUGAUGUUAUCAAUAUGUCAGUAAUUAACAUUUUGAAAGUGUGGUUGUAUAUUCAGGCCUGCUGUGAAGUGAUAUCAAAUAUAACAAGCCUUACAUCAAUGUCAUUUUGGACUGUGAACAUUGUUUUAUGGAGUAUACUAAGCAUGUACACCUCAAGGUGAAAUACAAGUUUUUAUAGUUCUGUACAUUAUUAUCAUUAAAUAUCAUUAAAUAGCAAGAAUAAGCCUUAAUUGUAGCAUUUUGGGCUGUAAUCAAAUGAUCCACCAUUCUAACCCACCGUUAUAUGUAAAAAAUUUAUCCCGUUAGAGAAUGUCAGGGAAAUGUCUUAAACUGAUGUAUUCUUACUGAUUAAAGGACUGGGUCACCAUGUUUAGAUAAGAAAAGGAAUGUGGGAGAGGGGGAUCUGGUAUUUGUCUAAAGGGGCAUCCUUGACUGGUAUCAGCAGAUUAUAGGGUUACUCGUAAAUCUGUAUAACCCAUCAGUGUCUAUCUGUUGUUUGUCCAGAUGCUUUAAGUCCUCCUCAAGGGUUGAGAAGGUUACCCAGGUGGGGUAGGACAACACGUCCCUUGUGUGAAUCCUAGGAUAUGCGAUAGAACAAAGGGAAUGUGUUUUAUUGACAUAAGACAGAUGGGCAGUAUUUUACCACACCCCUUUUUCCCCUUUAAGUACUGACGAUUGUCCUGUAUUAAUUUAGCGAUUAUUCACUGUUACUCUGUAACCUGUGUACUCUCUCCUUGCAAGAAUAAAACUGUUUAUUGUGCAACUGAGUUUUCCUCUGUCUUACCUACCAUUUUCGUGAAUUGUUUGGACUUGAGAAAUUGCCAUCACAAGAACUUGAUGGGAAAUUAUUGCUUACAUUAUUAGA
ensembl:lncRNA